GCCUCUGUGGUGUAGUGGUAGAGCACGCGUCCCCGGACAGGAUGAAACGCGGGUUCUAUUACCGCAUAAGGGCG